UCCCUGGCAGUCCAGUGGCUAGGAGUCCGCGCUUUCACUGCAGGGGGCCCAGGUUCAAUUCCUGGUCAGGAAA
rnacentral:tRNA from 1 species